AUACGGAGGGUCCAAGCGUUAUCCGGAAUCAUGGGGUUUAAAGGGUGCGCAGGCGGUUUAUUAAGUCAGUGGUGAAAUCUCGAGGCUCAACCUCGAAACUGCCAUUGAUACUGAUAAACUUGAGUUCAGUUGGGGUAGGCGGAAUGUGUAGUGUAGCGGUGAAAUGCUUAGAUAUUACACAGAACACCGAUAGCGAAGGCAGCUUACUAAACUGAUACUGACGCUGAGGCACGAAAGCGUGGGGAGCGAACAGGAUUAGAAACCCCUGUAGUCC
rnacentral:rRNA from 1 species